GACGAACGCUGGCGGCGUGCCUAAUACAUGCAAGUAGAACGCACAGUUUAUACCGUAGCUUGCUACACCAUAGACUGUGAGUUGCGAACGGGUGGGUAACGCGUAGGUAACCUGCCUGGUAGCGGGGGAUAACUAUUGGAAACGCUAGCUAAUACCGCAUAAUAUUGAUUAUUGCAUGAUAAUUGAUUGAAAGAUGCUAUUGCAUCACUACCAGAUGGACCUGCGUUGUAUUAGCUAGUAGGUGAGGUAACGGCUCACCUAGGCGACGAUACAUAGCCGACCUGAGAGGGUGGUCGGCCACACUGGGACUGAGACACGGCCCAGACUCCUACGGGAGGCAGCAGUAGGGAAUCUUCGGCAAUGGACGAAAGUCUGACCGAGCAACGCCGCGUGAGUGAAGAAGGUUGUCGGAUCGUAAAGCUCUGUUGUAAGAGAAGAACGGGUGUGAGAGUGGAAAGUUCACACUGUGACGGUAACUUACCAGAAAGGGACGGCUAACUACGUG
rnacentral:rRNA from 1 species